GAUGAACGCUAGCUACAGGCUUAACACAUGCAAGUCGCGGGACCGGCGCACGGGUGAGUCACGCGUCUCCAACCUGCCCUUCACCACUGGGUAACCCGGCGAAAGUCGGACUAAUCCCGUAUGGUGAGGGAGGGGGAUGCGUCCGAUUAGCUUGACGGCGGGGUAACGGCCCACCGUGGCUACGAUCGGUAGGGGUUCUGAGAGGGAGGUCCCCCACACUGGAACUGAGACACGGUCCAGACUCCUACGGGAGGCAGCAGUGAGGAAUAUUGGUCAAUGGGCGUAAGCCUGAACCAGCCAAGUAGCGUGCAGGACGACGGCCUAUGGGUUGUAAACUGCUUUUAUGCGGGGAUAGGUACCGCAUGAAUAAGGACCGGCUAAUUCCGUGCCAGCAGCCGCGGUAAUAC
rnacentral:rRNA from 1 species